GACGAACGCUGGCGGCGUGCUUAACACAUGCAAGUCGAGCGGAGCGGCGCACGGGUGGGUAACGCGGGAGUAACUGCCCCCCUCCCUGGGGUAACAGUUGGAAACGGCUGCUAAUACCGGAUAGGUGGGGAUGGCUCGCGUCCUAUCAGCUUGUUGGUGGGGUAGUGGCCUACCAAGGCGACGACGGGUAGCCGGCCUGAGAGGGGGACCGGCCCCCAGAGGCUGAGAUACGGACCAAACUACUACGGGGGGCAGCAGGGGGGAAUAGUGCACAAUGGGGGAAACCCUGAUGCAGCAACGCGCCUGCGCGAUGACGGCCUUCGGAUUGGAAACCGCUUUCAGCCAUGUCGCGGUAGUGGCAGAAGAAGCAACGGCUAACUACGUGCCAGCCGCCGCGGUAAUAC
rnacentral:rRNA from 1 species